UUCGGUUUACCUCUAACGGCUCCAUAGUUCGGGAUCGCUCCUUGUCCCUUCUUUCUCUCCGAUCGGUCGAUAUCUUCGCCUUCCGAGAACAACUCCGCCGCCGAAGACGAAGCCAAACUGGAGCUUCCCAGAAAGAUUCGAAGCAAUGAGGUCGAUUAUUCAAACGACCUAGUUGUGAUUUCUACAAAUUUGCGAACUUAAUUACUUCCAAACCAAUGCCGUAGCCCACGUCGUCACCGCCGUCUGUCGCGGCCAGUGUUGUUGCUGACGCCCCUUUUGCCUUCUCUCUCAUUCUCUCGUAAAAGCCUUCCUGAUCGCAAUCUUUCCCCAGUAGUCAGGAUAGGGUUUUGCCUGCUCUAUUUACAUUUGAUUCCUACACUUGAAAGCCCAGCCGAGCAAUCCCAUCUUCUCCGUGAGGCUUCAGUUUUAGUAGCCUCCUUUCCUUGUCACUUAUCAGGUCAGUUUACAUCUAAAAAACAAACACUGAGAGAUCUAUUGUCAGUAUCGCUGCUUAUCCUUGUCUAUAUUGAGACCAAAACAGGUAUGUUUCGCUAUAUGGAUUGAUUAUUGAGGAAAAAGGAUCAACUUCCAUGUCUAAGACCUUUGAAAUUAUUUGUGCUCACUGUUUGUUGUCACAUUAUGAAUGCUAAUGGUUCUAUUUGAAUGGAUUAUUGUGGUAGCUUUAAAGGCAAUAAGAUGGGAAGGCUAGCAUGGGUGCUAUUCUUUAUUUGAUCAUGGUGCGAGGAUGAUCUUCUCGAGUUUGUGGUGAUGAUCAUAAACGUACUCCCUCUAUUAGAGAGCCCAAGCAAGGGAAAUUACGCUCUCUAGUACAAGAUGUUACAUCUGAUCUUCAGAUAGGUCAAGUUUUAGAGCAACCAACCAAGCAAGGGGUGGGUCGCAGACUAGUUUGACAUAAGAGCCCAACACUGAGUUUGACACACCCGCUGAAAGUUUUUCAGUUGACAAGACCAGAAUAUUACAACUUGCGAAGUUAGUGAUAGAGCGAGUUGUUACUUUCCACGGUACCAUUGAUCCAUGGGAGGCUCAUGGAUGGUUAGAAGAUUUUGAGUACACUUUUGACUGUAUAGCCUCUAAGGAUGAGAAAAGACACAAUUGGCCACUUAUUUUUUUCAAGCGCAAGGCAGUGGUUUGGUGGCGUGUUAUGAGACAAACUUUUGAGACGGGACCUAUCUCGUGGAAUCAAUUUAAGGAGGCAUUUGAAAGCAUGUAUUGUCCAAAGGCAUUUAGAGAUGCAAGGCGCUAAGAAUUUUUGCGCAUUCGUUAAGGAGAUCUCAGCGUAUUUGACCACUGUGUAGAGUUUGAUAAGUUGGCAGAGUUUUGUUUGUAUCUAGUAGCCAUUGAUGUUGAUCGCUGUAACCAUUUUAUCCAUGGGCUCACUCCAUAUAUCCAGAAUAGGAUGUCUGAAUUGACUUUCACAAGUUUUAAGGAGUCCUUAGAUAUGGCCAUUUCUAUUGAAGCGACACAACAAUGACUAAAUAUGGAAAAGGAACAAUACCACAAUAAAUUUCAGUUCCAAUGUCGCGGAAAAGAAGGCCAACUCAACAAACAGAACUCCCAGAACCAGGCUCAGGCUGGAGGAAGCACCAUGAACUUCUCUCAACCUAAGAAAAGGGCUAGGAACAUAAAUACAUCAUUCCAAGAAUCCUCAUACUAACCAAAACUCAACAGAGUAGGACACCAAGUGAUCCAAGGAUUGGAGGUCAAAGUUGAUGUUAUUGCUGUUGACAGAACCGACAUGGAAUUUUGCAAUGUCAUCUGGAUCAAAUUAUUUUCUUUUACUGCAUGCUACCUGGACACCUGAGUAGGAAUUGCAUUUUACGAGCACAACACGAGUCUAAAAGACUUCAGACACAACAAAGACAAUCAUUAGAAUAUCAACAGAGGAGUCAACAGAGACAUCAACCACAUGGCCGCAACAUCCUCGAGCACAAAAUAUAUAUCACUUCCAACCGCAACACACACCACCAUAUCUGACCACCCAAUAUACCUACUCUACUCAGCAUGCUCAGGUCCUAAUGCAACCCCUUUUAACACACAUGCCCUUGCAUGCACCAUCACAGGAGCUUGUUACUCGUCGGGUUUAUGCUAUGACUAAUGAUGAUGCACAACGAGCCUGCGAGUCUCAAAGAAUUCAUUGGAGAUAUUUUCAGUAACAAUGGUUUAUUCUCGAAGAUUGGGUUUUCAAACUAAUCUUGUGGGCAUAUAAAAUUCAGAGCAAUACGUGAAUAGUUAGAUAGCUUCUCUUUUGUUUCUUUAGGUUCAUACAUGUUUCAUAUUCUUUUGAGAGACUGUAAUUUGCAACUCAGCAAUUGACCAAUGCAAUUAAUACUCAA